GGAGAGGUGGCCGAGCGGCUUAAGGCGCACGCUUGGAAAGCGUGUGUGCCCCAAAAGGGUACCGAGGGUUCGAAUCCCUCUCUCUCCG
rnacentral:tRNA from 1 species